GACUAGGUGAAGAGAUUAUAUUUCCACACUGGCCUGAACGCCUCGGGAUCCCUCAGUCAGAGCUGGUUAAUGUGGCUCGAGAAAGAGAAGUUUGGGGUCACUAGAUGGAGCUGCUUCCGCGACGCCGACCCCGGAUAAGCGGAUGAAGAUGGAUGGUUCAACCUUGUAAACUACAGGCUCCACACAGGCAGCCAAAGAGGCCGUUGAUCAUCUGAAUGGCGCAGAGAAUCACCUGCAGGCAGCUGACUGCCAUCAGAGUCAUGAACAAUCCAACGUUGAACUGCACCACAUUCUUAGGCUCUGUGCAGUCUCCCCACGACUUGUAGUCAUUCAGGUGUUGUCCAAUCCCCACCGGCUUUGCAGAAGGGCCCGUUACUUAAACCAAGCGCUGCCACAACGAAACUGUAUAGUCCACCGGCCACCCCCACUGCGGCGAACACAAUGGAUAAGAACAUCUGCAGAAGUCGUCGAGAGGAGGCAUGUCCUCGGAUCUGGUUCACUCACUCACCUGCUCCCCAUCCCUGAUCACUCACCUGCUCUUCAUCAAGCAAUCUCCUCAGCCUUCUUAUACUGCCUCCAGCCAUCCAGUCGCCGCUGGAUCGUUGUGUCAUUUGUUCAUCUACACCAGCCAUCGGUUUUGUUAUCCUUGGACCCAACCCUUGCCACUCUGCCUGCCUGUCAGCACCCACUUCUCGGACCUCAGCUCAAGUUCCCUGCAUGCCAGCCACCCUUACGCCAUGCUUACCAUCCACCUAUUGUUCCCUGUAAUAAACAUCCUGAACUGCUC